rnacentral:lncRNA from 1 species
AAAGGAAUUGACGGAAGGGCACCACCAGGAGUGGAGCCUGCGGCUUAAUUUGACUCAACACGGGAAAGCUUACCCGGCCCGGACACUGGGAGGAUUGACAGAUUGAGAGCUCUUUCUUGAUUCGGUGGAUGGUGGUGCAUGGCCGUUCUUAGUUGGUGGAGCGAUUUGUCUGGUUAAUUCCGAUAACGAACAAGACUCUAGCCUAUUAAAUAGGUGCGGGGUUCCCAGCACCUUACAACCUUCUUAGAGGGACAAGCGGCUCCUAGCCGCACGAAACAGAGCAAUAACAGGUCUGUGAUGCCCUUAGAUGUCCGGGGCCGCACGCGCGCUACACUGAAGGAAGCAGCGUGUCUUUAUCCCUGUCUGAAAAGACUGGGUAACCCGUGGAACUUCUUUCGUGAUUGGGAUAGGGGCUUGCAAUUGUUCCCCUUGAACGAGGAAUUCCCAGUAAGCGCGAGUAAUAAGCUCGCGUUGAUUACGUCCCUGCCCUUUGUACACACCGCCCGUCGCUACUACCGAUUGAAUGAUUUAGUGAGGUCUUCGGACCGAUGUCCGGCGCGGCCUUUCGGUUGCGCCGGUCUGUUGGAAAGAUGACCAAACUUGAUCAUUUAGAGGAAGUAAAAGUCGUAACAAGGUUUCCGUAGGUAAACCUGCGGAAGGAUCAUUACCGGAUUGUGAAGGGUGGCGAGCGCCAAUGUUUCUACCCCGCGUGGGUGAAGCAGCUCGCUGCGCCCGACGCUUUCCGCCGCUGGCCCCGCUUGGACGCGGGGACGGCUAUACCCGAACAUGCCGGGGACUGCCUGAAUUUUGAGGGGCGCCCCGUGCCAAAUUUGUUGCGCCCAGUGGACGCCGGCUGCAACCUUGGACGGUUGGCUUGGCCGCGCCCGCGGGUAGAAACGGCGUAACGCACACUGGGUGGGCUUUCUGUCCGCUUUGGCGCUCUUGCGCGGAAUGGGAGUAAGACGACCCGACCUGCUGCUUUGCCCAGUACGAGGGGAACGGUGAAGCGUGCGGUCGGUCAAGGAACUGACGGUCGAGAGCUAAUGCCGCUGCCGCUUAGUACACACGGAACCGUGGUGCGAGCGCUCUCCCGUCCUCCGCGGCAAACGCUGCCGAGUCUGAAAAGGCUGGCGGCUGCCGGUCGCUUCCUGCGGCGAGUAUGGAGUAACGACCCGACUUUGUUGCCGCCCAAGUACUAAAGGAACGGUGUGGCGCUCGGUCGGUCAUGGAACUGUCGAGCUAAUGCCGCUGCCGCUUAGUACACACGGAACCGUGGUGCGAGCGCUCUCCCGUCCUCCGCGGCAAACGCUGCCGAGUCUGAAAA